GUAACGGCGAGUGAAGCGGCAACAGCUCAAAUUUGAAAUCUGGCCUCUUCGGGGUCCGAGUUGUAAUUUGUAGAGGGUGUUUCGGGCGCGAUGCCGGUCUAAGUUCCUUGGAACAGGACGUCGUAGAGGGUGAGAAUCCCGUAUGCGACCGGCGAUCAAGCCCGUGUGAAGCCCCUUCGACGAGUCGAGUUGUUUGGGAAUGCAGCUCAAAAUGGGUGGUAAAUUUCAUCUAAAGCUAAAUAUUGGCCGGAGACCGAUAGCGGACAAGUAGAGUGAUCGAAAGAUGAAAAGCACUUUGGAAAGAGAGUCAAACAGUACGUGAAAUUGUUGAAAGGGAAGCGCUUGCAAUCAGACCGGUCCGGAGGCGAUCAGCCGCUGCUCGUCAGCGGUGCACUCGCCUGCGAUCCGGCCAGCAUCGGUUCGGGCGGCGGGACAAAAGUCCCGGGAAUGUAGCUUCUUUCGGGGAGUCUUAUAGCCCGGGUCGCAAUGCCGCCCGCCCGGACCGAGGACCGCGCUUC
rnacentral:rRNA from 1 species